GUGCUUGCUUCGGCAGCACAUAUACUAAAACUGGAACGAUACAGAGAAGAUUAGUAUGGCCCCUGCACAAGGAUGACACGCAAAUUUGUGAAGUGUUCCAUAAAAAU